rnacentral:rRNA from 1 species
AUUGAACGCUGGCGGCAGGCUUAACACAUGCAAGUCGAGCGAGCGGCGGACGGGUGAGUCAUGUCUGGGAAACUGCCUGAUGGCGGGGGAUAACUACUGGAAACGGUAGCUAAUACCGCAUACCAUCAGAUGUGCCCAGAUGGGAUUAGCAAGGAGGUGGGGUAAUGGCUCACCUAGGCGACGAUCCCUAGUUGGUCUGAGAGGAUGACCAGCCACACUGGAACUGAUACACGGUCCAGACUCCUACGGGAGGCAGCAGUGGGGAAUAUUGCACAAAGGGCGAAAGCCUGAUGCAGACAUGCCGCGUGAGGGAAUAAGGCCUGCGGGUGGUAAAGCACUGUGAGCAAGGAGGCGGUACACGAAGAAGAAGCACCGGCUAACUACGUGCCAGCAGCCGCGGUAAUAC